AACUUUUAUAUAAGGCGGUCUUUCCUGUAAGACCGCCUUGUUGUCACCAAGCUGCCACGUAUGAGCUGAGUCAGCGUUUUAUCUCCCAAAAAAUAUAUAUACAUAUUUUGCAUUUCUUUUUCAUUUUUAUUUUCAUAACCCUAAUUCUCUCUCCUCCAAAUUUCUCUGACCCCCUCUCUCUCCUCCAAACCUCUCUGAUCCUCUCUCUCCUCCAAACCUCUCGGCCAACGCCGGUGAUAACCUGGAGAAUCGAGGUCGACGGCGGAGGAUACCGGCGACGCGGUUAGGGCGGAGUUUUGUUGAUUUUGCAGAUUAAUUUACCGGAAAGAUGAGAAUGUGGUGGCCGACGAGCAGCGGCGAAGGGAGGAAGGAGAUCGUGCGAUGUUCAGGAAGAGGAGAGGAGAGACCGAGGAGGUUGCGCGAUGAGUCGUCGUGGCUGCUGCUGCUCCUCGUCGGACAACCUAGUUAGGAAAUUGCAUGAGGAAGAUGAGGUGUUCCUUAUGAGGAGGAGGCGGAUUUGCCGCUGGUUGUUGGUGGUGGUGGUUGCCGCUACCGCA